rnacentral:rRNA from 1 species
GACGAACGCUGGCGGCGUGCUUAACACAUGCAAGUCGAACGAAGUGGCGAACGGGUGAGUAACGCGUAAUCAACCUGCCCUUCAGAGGGGGACAACAGUUGGAAACGACAGCUAAUACCGCAUACUGAAGGAGGGGAUUGCGUCUGAUUAGCUAGUUGGAGGGGUAACGGCGCCCCAAGGCGAUGAUCAGUAGCCGGGCUGAGAGGAUGAACGGCCACAUUGGGACUGAGUCACGGCCCAUACGACUACGGGGUGCAGCAAUGGGGAAUCCUCCGCAAUGGACGAAAGUCUGACGGGGCAAGGACGCGUGGAUGAGGACGGCCUUCGGGUUGUAAAGCUCUAUUAAUCGGGCCGCGGUACCGUAAUAGAAAGCCACGGCUAACUACGUGCCAGCAGCCGCGGUAAUUC